rnacentral:rRNA from 1 species
AUGGAGAACAGUGGGAAGAUCGUAAUGGGUAGGUAUGAGGUGGGGAGAUUGUUAGGGAAAGGAGCAUUUGGCAAGGUGCACUACGCCAAGAACCUUGAGUCAAACCGAGGCGUCGCCAUAAAGAUGUUGGACAAGGAGAAGGUGCUGAAGGUCGGGCUCGCGGAGCAGGUCAGGCGUGAGAUCACCACCAUGCGGUUGGUAGCGCACAAAAGCAUUGUUCAGCUCCAUGAGGUCAUGGCGACACGAAGCAAGAUCUACUUCGUCAUGGAGUACAUGAAAGGCGGUGAGCUCUUUGACAAGGUUUCCAAGGCUGGCAAGCUCACCGAGGAUGCUGCACGCAAGUAUUUCCAGCAGCUCAUCAGUGCAGUGGAUUACUGCCACAGCCGAGGCGUGUAUCACCGGGACUUGAAGCCUGAGAACCUACUCCUUGAUGAGAAUGAAAACCUGAAGGUUUCUGAUUUUGGGCUGAGUGCACUUUCAGAAUCGAAGAGCCAAGAUGGCAUGCUCCACACCACCUGUGGAUCGCCUGCAUAUGUGGCUCCAGAGGUGAUCAGCAAGGGAGGCUAUGAUGGUGCAAAAUCAGAUAUCUGGUCUUGCGGUGUCAUCCUCUUCGUUCUUGUUGCUGGUUACCUCCCUUUCCAAGGUCAGAACUUGAUAGAGAUGUACCGGAAGAUUGAGAAAGGCGAUUUCAGGUGCCCUGGCUGGGUUUCCCAAAAACUUCAGAAGCUGUUGUACAAGAUCAUGGACCCUGAUCCGAACAAGAGGAUAUCAAUCCAGAAGAUAAAGGAGUCCACCUGGUUCCGGAAAGGUCCCGGGGAGAACCUUACAGUGAAGGAGAGACUGCCAAGUGAGAAUGCCAACACGGAUGCUGUUCCAACACUUGGUGUGAGGCGCAGGAAGAACAGUCACGAAGACGCGAAGCCCCUGGCGGUGACAAAUUUAAAUGCCUUUGAAAUCAUCUCUUUCUCCACAGGGUUUGACCUCUCUGGCCUAUUCGUCGAGAAGGAGAGCAAAAAGGAAGCAAGGUUCACUUCAGAACAGCCUGCCUCAGCCAUUGUCUCGAAGCUGGAAGCUGUUGCGAAGACGCUGAAUCUCAGGGUGAGGAAGAAGGAUAAUGGUGUUGUCAAGAUGCAAGUGAGGAAGGAAGGCAGGAAUGGUGUUCUUCAGUUUGACUCGGAGAUCUUUGAGAUCAGCCCCUCGUACCAUCUCAUUGAGAUGAAACAAACAAGCGGUGAUUCACUGGAGUACCAGAAGCUAUUGGAGGAGAGCAUCCGGCCAGCACUGAAGGACAUUUGUCUGGGCAUGGCAUGGAGCUGA